rnacentral:rRNA from 1 species
GAUGAACGCUGGCGGCGUGCCUAAUACAUGCAAGUCGAGCGAACAGACGAGGAGCUUGCUCCUCUGACGUUAGCGGCGGACGGGUGAGUAACACGUGGAUAACCUACCUAUAAGACUGGGAUAACUUCGGGACACCGGAGCUAAUACCGGAUAAUAUAUUGAACCGCAUGGUUCAAUAGUGAAAGACGGUUUUGCUGUCACUUAUAGAUGGAUCCGCGCCGCAUUAGCUAGUUGGUAAGGUAACGGCUUACCAAGGCAACGAUGCGUAGCCGACCUGAGAGGGUGGUCGGCCACACUGGAACGGAGACACGGUCCAGACUACUGCGGGAGGCAGCAGUAGGGAAUCUUCCGCAAUGGGCGAAAGCCUGACGGAGCAAGGCCGAGUGAGUUAUGAAGGUCUUCGGAUCGUAAAACUCUGUUAUUAGGGAAGAACAAAUGUGUAAGUAACUAUGCACGUCUUGACGGUACCUAAUCAGAAAGCCACGGCUAACUACGUG